UCUCAGUUCAGAUUGCAGGCUGNAACCCGCCUGCAUGAAGUCGGAAUUGCUAGUAAUCGCGGAUCAGCAUGCCGCGGUGAAUACGUUCCCGGGCCUUGUACACACCGCCCGUCACACCAUGGGAGCCGGGGGUGCCUGAAGUUCGUGACCGCAAGGAUCGACCUAGGGCAAAACCGGUGACUGGGGCUAAGUCGUAACAAGGUAAC
rnacentral:rRNA from 1 species